AUGCCAGCCUUCAGACCUCUGGUGAAGCCCAAGAUCAUUAAAAAGAGGACCAAGAAGUUCAUCCGGCACCACUCAGACCCAUAUGUCAAAAUUAAGCACAACCAGCCGAAACCCAGAGGCAUUGACAAUAGGGUGCACAGAAUAUUCAAAGGCCAGAUCUUGAUGCCCAGCAUUGGUUACAGGAGUAACAAGGAAACAAAGCACCUGUCGCUCAGUGGCUUCUGGAAGUUCCUAGUCCACAACGUCAUGGAGCUUGAAGUGCUCCUGGUAUGCAACAUAUCUUAUCAUGCAGAAAUCACUCACAUUGUCUCCUGCAAGAAAUGCAAAACUAUGGAAAGAGCAGCCCUGCUGGCCAUCAGAGUCCCCAAUCCCAAUGCCAGGCUGCGCAGAGAAGAAAGUGAAUAG